AGAGUGAGAUUUGGUAGAUAAAACCUGCAGAGGUAAAUGAGUUCAUGUUUAAUUCACCUGAGAAACGAGACUUAAUCACUAAAACUAUGUCAACAUCACAAAGCUCACAUAAAAGAAACCAAAGCUUUUAAUCAGAAACAUUUCAUGUGAUAAUUUUUCACAGGUUUUACUCUUUCCUAAACCCUCACAGAAACACAUGCAUUCAUAUCCAAGUGAAAGUAUUUUCAUUUACUCUAUUGUAAUAACCACAUUGGAUGGGUGCUCUAAAUAAAGGUAGCUAUGUACAGAACAUCAUCUGUUUCUGAAUUUAUUAAACAUAAGGAGUAGAAAAAUGGAAAUCGAUUGAAAAAUCCUUGAUCGACUGGUUUCAAGGAUUAUGAAAUAAGCCUAAUAAGGCUAUAAACUUCUGGGUCUUAAGCUUAACUGCUUGAACACCAUUUCUUCCAGGUGCCUUCCGUAACCACAACUCAGUUCACUUCAAAAAUCACAGAUUAUAGCUAUUAGCAUGCCUCCAUAUUCACUCCUCUGUCUCUAACAUGACCCCAAAUAUCAAUUUCAGACUUCAGAUUUUCUACGAAAGUACAACUUAGACCAGCACAAAGUGACUUUCACUCACUCAACAUUUUCAGUCUCUCUUCUUUUCUCCAAUUAUUAUUUCAGAAACCAAAUAAACGGUUAAGAUCUUAAAUUGCCAAAAACCACAACCUCACCAAACAGAUCUGAAUACAAAUUGCCAAAAAAGAAAAGACAAUAACAAGCACCAAAACUAACUAAAUGCUCAAUGAGUUAGGUAAGCGAAAUGAAAAACACUUACUUCACAAACUUGA
rnacentral:misc_RNA from 1 species